AGAGUUUGAUCAUGGCUCAGGAUGAACGCUGGCGGCGUGCCUAACACAUGCAAGUCGAGCGAUUUACUUCGGUAAAGAGCGGCGGACGGGUGAGUAACGCGUGGGUAACCUGCCCUGUACACACGGAUAACAUACCGAAAGGUAUGCUAAUACGAGAUAAUAUGUUUUUAUCGCAUGGUAGAAGUAUCAAAGCUUUUGCGGUACAGGAUGGACCCGCGUCUGAUUAGCUAGUUGGUAAGGCAACGGCUUACCAAGGCUACGAUCAGUAGCCGACCUGAGAGGGUGAUCGGCCACAUUGGAACUGAGACACGGUCUAAACUCCUACGGGAGGCAGCAGUGGGGAAUAUUGCACAAUGGGCGAAAGCCUGAUGCAGCAACGCCGCGUGAGCGAUGAAGGCCUUCGGGUCGUAAAGCUCUGUCCUCAAGGAAGAUAAUGACGGUACUUGAGGAGGAAGCCCCGGCUAACUACGUGCCAGCAGCCGCGGUAAUACGUAGGGGGCUAGCGUUAUCCGGAAUUACUGGGCGUAAAGGGUGCGUAGGUGGUUUCUUAAGUCAGAGGUGAAAGGCUACGGCUCAACCGUAGUAAGCCUUUGAAACUGGGAAACUUGAGUGCAGGAGAGGAGAGUGGAAUUCCUAGUGUAGCGGUGAAAUGCGUAGAUAUUAGGAGGAACACCGGUUGCGAAGGCGGCUCUCUGAACUGUAACUGACACUGAGGCACGAAAGCGUGGGGAGCAAACAGGAUUAGAUACCCCGGUAGUCC
rnacentral:rRNA from 1 species